UUUCCUUUUUAUUCUCUCGAACCCUCUCUCUAGAUUUAUAGUAAUAAUAAAAAAGGGUUCUGCCUUGUUUUAAGUAUCUUAACUCCUGAUCACCGCUACCCUUUCCGAUUGAUCUGAGUCCCAUAACGCAUGUUAAGGCUCUGCCCGACUAAGUUCGUUUGGAUUCUAUCUCGGAACAUCGGGACAAGGUUGAUUUAGGGAUACUAUACUUAACACAAGUGCAAAAUAUAUUUUUAAUAGCUCAAAAGUUAUACCCAAAAUUUAUACCAGGAGGUUUUCUAGCUGAACCUUAAAGUUACAAAGUGGGUCCAUUCUCUUUUCUUACUAUUUAUUCUCUUUUUGUAAGUUACCCAAAACUAUUAUUUAUUAUUUAUUAUUUCUAUUUUAUAAACAAACUUUCAUCAAAAGUCAUGUCUAUCAUUUUAUUUACCCAAUAGGGAACCAUAGUUGAGACACCCAAGUAAUCCUGCACAACUCCUAAAAUUUUCAUAGCAAUUAGAAUCAGGAUCAGGGCCCCUAAAACUCAAAGGGGGCAAUUCCCAUUCAAUAUUAUCUUCAAAAAUCUGUUGUCAAAAUUGAAUUUAGUCGUACAGUCAACUCAGCAAGCCUACCCCUAAACGUGUCCACCCUAGGCUAGAAAAUAGACCCGUCGCGCCACGCGACGGGUGCACAUGUUCUUGUCGCGACACGCGAGAGGGACGAUUUUCCAACUAUAAAUAGUAGGCUGUGGGACUCGAAUUUCUGCGUUGGAACGACGUUAGAAUUCAAUUCGUACGCCGAGUUAUAGUCCGUUUACUACCAAAGACACACCACACUCGAAUCGCUGCCGCGGAACAGGGUAAUUACUCGAUCGCUAUUACGAUUCAUUUUCCGAGAUCAAUAUAUCCAAAGAAUGUCUAAGUGCCGCCCAUAUUGGGUUAUGCUUUGUCGUUUGUCGAUAAUUCGAUAAAUGAGUUGAAGCAUUAUACUUUGUCGUUUGUCGAUAAUUCGAUAAAUGAGUUGAAGUAUUAUACUUUGUCGUUUGUCGUUAAUACGAUAAAUGAGUUGAAGUAUUGCACUUUGUCAUUCAUUAUGAGAAUUUGAUCUCGUGAGUUAUCGUAAAAGCUGUAUUGAUCAUUAACCCGGCUUUGUGUGCAUCCUUUCCUAAAUUAGGAUUAUUAGUCUUAAUACACUUACAAUCAAAGUAGAUGCUAAUUCUCAGAAGAAUCUGAACCAUGAAGCUUGUUAAUUCAAAUACUGCAUGCUGAUUUGUAAUUACAAUAGAUUGGAGUAAGGAUUGGAUCCGACACUGAAGGACUUCAAGAAGUGGCUUAUUUUCAAAUUAAGAAAUAUUGUUUUUAUUAAAAGCUACCUUUGUAAAACAUGGAAUUUAUUCCAUCUUUUUAAAUAAAAUCCGGUGU
rnacentral:lncRNA from 1 species